rnacentral:rRNA from 1 species
UACGUAGGGCGCAAGCGUUGUCCGGAAUUAUUGGGCGUAAAGAGCUCGUAGGCGGCUUGUCGCGUCGGUUGUGAAAGCCCGGGGCUUAACCCCGGGUCUGCAGUCAAUACGGGCAGGCUAGAGUUCGGUAGGGGAGAUCGGAAUUCCUGGUGUAGCGGUGAAAUGCGCAGAUAUCAGGAGGAACACCGGUGGCGAAGGCGGAUCUCUGGGCCGAUACUGACGCUGAGGAGCGAAAGCGUGGGGAGCGAACAGG